GCAGGCGCGGUGGCGUGAGCCUGGAGUCCCAGCUACUCUGGAGGCUGAGGUGGGAGGAUCGCCUGAGCCCAGGAGGUCUGGGCUGUAGUAUGCUAUGCCAAUCGGGUGUCUGCACUAAGUUCGGCAUCAAUAUAGUGAACUUCGGGAGCCGGGGACCACCAAGUCGCCUAAGGAGGGUUAAACCCACCCAGGUUACAAACAGAGCAGGUCAAAACUCCCGUGCUGAUCAGUAGUGGGAUCGCGCCUGUGAAUAGCCGCUGCACUCCAGCCUGGGAAACAAAGUGAGACCCCAUCUCU
rnacentral:SRP_RNA from 1 species